AGGUUAGCCGUCUUCUGUAACCACAAACCGGCUUCACGGUGGGGUUGAAGUCUUGGGAGAGGUGUACAUUUCGGUUGUUAGUCUCAGCCCGUACGAUGACGCUUUGUCCCGUUGGGCUGAUUUUCAUGAUAACUGGGUCAGGUCGGGAACGAAGCAGCCCUACUCGUGGAGGUUGGCGCUUUCGGGGUCGCAGAGCUGAGGAAAGGCUGAGGAAGCUAGCAGCUGAUCUUGCAUCCAUCCUCGGACGCGUCUGCCA
rnacentral:SRP_RNA from 1 species